ACUUAGCAAGGGCCUGGAGCGCUACUACAGUAUCCUGUUCACAGCGACAGCACACAGUCAGAAAAAGAUCAAACACAUUAUAAAGGCUGAAAGGAAAGCUGCAUGAGAUAACCAGUAUUACCUGUGUGGAGGAGAAGCCCCCGAAGGCGUUCUGCUGUCUGCCCAGCCACUGCACUAUUCCAGCUGAAUAGCUGAGACCAAAUCCAGGCAGCGAGGGUCCCGAGAGAAGAGCCAGCAACACAUCGUCUCCCAGGUGACCUAGAAGUCUUUUAACUCAUUCAAGACAGGUACAAUGUCUCCCCUUACUCCAAUACACCUAAAACAUGGAGUGCUGUAAAAACUCGUCAUCGGUAGGGCAGCAUUGUCUCUUGAUGAAUGAAAGGGUACCUUCUCUCCUGGCCUGAUUGUCCAGGUUGGACAGGAGUUUCUGCCUCAUUUCUACAUCUCCAGCAAGUGUAAAUGUAUAGGACAG